UUUUAUCUAGUCUGUGGUCUGAAAUAUAGUGGAAAUGGCGCAGUGCAUAGCGCAUGCGUAGUACGCGCUUAAAAACCGCGCAUGCGCAUUACUUUCGUUUAAAUACGCAUGCGCCCUCAUGGAUCUUCCAGUCCCAGUCCACGUGUUGUGCAGAGAAAGCACGUGCGCUAGAAAGGAGAAUGCUUCGCACGUGCCCAACUUCUGGGUCACGUGGAAAUGCUAUAAUGGGAGUUGGGACUCAUUUCCCACUUAAUACAGAAGUUAUUUCAUUCCAAUGGGAAAUUGUAUGAACUGGAUGAUGCAUCGACUUGUGUAACCAUCAUUGUCUUUGGAAACGUUCAUCAUGAACCUGUGGCCCAUCAGAUGCCCAAAUGGUUCCAGGACUCGCUUUUCCUUUUUAAGGACAUAAAAACGAUGUUCCAGCCUAUUGGGUGACCAUGUACGCAAUGCAAGGUUCGAGAAUUGGAAACCAAACUCUGAGGAAUCUCGAAUGGACUUGUUGAUGCGCCUUACAAGCAGAUGCACAUGGUCUGUCCUGUGUUGCAAUGUACAGAUGUUCUCCUUCCCCCUCAUUGUUUUUAAUGGUGGGACUGGUCUUCAUCUAUGUCAUGGUUGUACAUUCAAUGAGUGACUGUUUUCUAUUAAAGCUUUUUGAAUUA